GUUAAGCGACUAAGCGUACACGGUGGAUGCCCUGGCAGUCAGAGGCGAUGAAGGACGUGCUAAUCUGCGAAAAGCGUCGGUAAGGUGAUAUGAACCGUUAUAGCCGGCGAUGUCCGAAUGGGGAAACCCAGUGCAAUUCGUUGCACUAUCGUUAACUGAAUCCAUAGGUUAACGAGGCGAACCGGGGGAACUGAAACAUCUAAGUACCCCGAGGAAAAGAAAUCAACCGAGAUUCCCCCAGUAGCGGCGAGCGAACGGGGAGCAGCCCAGAGCCUGAAUCAGCAUGUGUGGUAGUGGAACGGUCUGGAAAGGCCGGCGAUACAGGGUGACAGCCCCGUACACAAAAUUGCAUGUGCUGUGAGCUCGAUGAGUAGGGCGGGACACGUGGUAUCCUGUCUGAAUAUGGGGGGACCAUCCUCCAAGGCUAAAUACUCCUGACUGACCGAUAGUGAACCAGUACCGUGAGGGAAAGGCGAAAAGAACCCCGGCGAGGGGAGUGAAAAAGAACCUGAAACCGUGUACGUA
rnacentral:rRNA from 1 species